rnacentral:rRNA from 1 species
CGGAACGUGCCCAGUUGUGGGGGAUAACUGCUCGAAAGAGCAGCUAAUACCGCAUACGACCUGAGGGUGAAAGCGGGGGAUCGCAAGACCUCGCGCAAUUGGAGCGGCCGAUAUCAGAUUAGGUAGUUGGUGGGGUAAAGGCCUACCAAGCCUACGAUCUGUAGCUGGUCUGAGAGGACGACCAGCCACACUGGGACUGAGACACGGCCCAGACUCCUACGGGAGGCAGCAGUGGGGAAUUUUGGACAAUGGGGGCAACCCUGAUCCAGCCAUGCCGCGUGCGGGAAGAAGGCCUUCGGGUUGUAAACCGCUUUUGUCAGGGAAGAAAUCCUUUGAACUAAUACUUCGGAGGGAUGACGGUACCUGAAGAAUAAGCACCGGCUAACUACGUGCCAGCAGCCGCGGUAAUACGUAGGGUGCAAGCGUUAAUCGGAAUUACUGGGCGUAAAGCGUGCGCAGGCGGUUAUGCAAGACAGAUGUGAAAUCCCCGGGCUCAACCUGGGAACUGCAUUUGUGACUGCAUAGCUAGAGUACGGUAGAGGGGGAUGGAAUUCCACGU